AUCGCUUCUCGGUCUUUUGGCUAAGAUCAAGUGUAGUAUCUGUUCUUAUCAGUUUAAUAUUUGAUAUGUUCUCUUUCUGAGAACUAAAUAUUAAAUGGAUUUUUGGAACUGGGAGAUUUGGCUAAGAGCUAGAAAUAAAAAACAACAACAUGCCCUUCACUGAAUCACUGGGGGCAAGGUGUGGUGAGUGUAU